rnacentral:rRNA from 1 species
GACGAACGCUGGCGGCGUGCUUAACACAUGCAAGUCGAACGGUGAAGGGAUCAGCUUGCUGGUUCUGGAUGAGUGGCGAACGGGUGAGUAACACGUGAGUAACCUGCCCCCUUCUUCUGGAUAACCGCAUGAAAGUGUGGCUAAUACGGGAUAUUCUGCGCCUGCUGCAUGGUGGGUGUGGGAAAGAUAUUGUUUCGGUGGGGGAUGGGCUCGCGGCCUAUCAGCUUGUUGGUGGGGUGAUGGCCUACCAAGGCGGGGACGGGUAGCCGGCCUGAGAGGGGGGACGGUCACACUGGGACUGAGACACGGCCCAGACUCCUACGGGAGGCAGCAGUGGGGAAUAUUGCACAAUGGGCGCAAGCCUGAUGCAGCGACGCCGCGUGAGGGAUGGAGGCCUUCGGGUUGUGAACCUCUUUCGCCAGUGAAGCAGGCCUGUCCCUUGUGGGUGGGUUGACGGUAGCUGGAUAAGAAGCGCCGGCUAACUACGUG